rnacentral:lncRNA from 1 species
AUGUUGCCCACGCGCAACCUGUCUCCACUGCGCUGGGCCCCGGGCGGAGGAAGUCUGCAGAAAUGAGCUAGAAUCCAAACACCAGCCAGAAGAUCCUAACUGCACCACCAAGGUCCACUCCGGAGAGAGGCGGGGACUCACUACCGGAAGCGACCGCCUAGUCGCGGUGCAUUCUGGGAAUUGUAGUGCGACCGCGAGGCUACAGAGCAUGCGCCUCCACAUGCGUGAUUCCCCUGUGUUUUGAUGUCCAAUUAAAAAUAAAAAUAAAAGAACCGUUACCC